AAAAAGAACCUGAAACCGUGUACGUACAAGCAGUGGGAGCACCCUUUUGGGUGUGACUGCGUACCUUUUGUAUAAUGGGUCAGCGACUUAUAUUCUGUAGCAAGGUUAACCGUAUAGGGGAGCCGUAGGGAAACCGAGUCUUAACCGGGCGUUAAGUUGCAGGGUAUAGACCCGAAACCCGGUGAUCUAGCCAUGGGCAGGUUGAAGGUUGGGUAACACUAACUGGAGGACCGAACCGACUAAUGUUGAAAAAUUAGCGGAUGACCUGUGGCUGGGGGUGAAAGGCCAAUCAAACCGGGAGAUAGCUGGUUCUCCCCGAAAGCUAUUUAGGUAGCGCCUCGUGAAUUCAUCUCCGGGGGUAGAGCACUGUUUCGGCUAGGGGGCCAUCCCGGCUUACCAACCCGAUGCAAACUGCGAAUACCGGAGAAUGUUAUCACGGGAGACACACGGCGGGUGCUAACGUCCGUCGUGAAGAGGGAAACAACCCAGACCGCCAGCUAAGGUCCCAAAGUCAUGGUUAAGUGGGAAACGAUGUGGGAAGGCCCAGACAGCC
rnacentral:rRNA from 1 species